GAUGAACGCUGGCGGCGUGCCUAAUACAUGCAAGUCGAGCGAAUGGAUUAAGAGCUUGCUCUUAUGAAGUUAGCGGCGGACGGGUGGGUAACACGUGGGUAACCUGCCCAUAAGACUGGGAUAACUCCGGGAAACCGGGGCUAAUACCGGAUAACAUUUUGAACCGCAUGGUUCGAAAUUGAAAGGCGGCUUCGGCUGUCCCUUAUGGAUGGACCCGCGUCGCAUUAGCUAGUUGGUGAGGUAACGGCUCACCAAGGCAACGAUGACUAGCCGGCCUGAGAGGGUGAUCGGCCACACUGGGACUGAGACACGGCCCAGACUCCUACGGGAGGCAGCAGUAGGGAAUCGUCCGCAAUGGACGAAAGUCUGACGGAGCAACGCCGCGUGAGUGAGGAAGGCUUUCGGGUCGUAAAACUCUGUUGUUAGGGAAGAACAAGUGCUAGUUGAAUAAGCUGGCACCUUGACGGUACCUAACCAGAAAGCCACGGCUAACUACGUGCCAGCCGCCGCUGUAA
rnacentral:rRNA from 1 species